rnacentral:lncRNA from 1 species
CCCAGUGUUUCUAAUUGCUAAGAAAUUUUUGAAGACACAAAUAAAAGCAACAGAACAAAAGAACUUGGAUGUGAGAUACUUCCCUUUUUAUUUGUUAUGUCACUUUGGUUGCACAAGUUAUCUUCAAUUGUUCCCCAAACUUGAUCUCACAUUUUUUGGUUCCAUGGGUAUGAAUAAACGAACCCUGAAAAUUAUGUAUUUCUCAACACAAGAAUCCAUCAGUAGGUUCACAAAUUCAAAUCAGGUGCAAACUGUAAAGCAUAGAUAAAUAAACAGAAAAAUAACAUGUAC